ensembl:lncRNA
CACUGAUUCACUAGAGGCUUUAUAUCUAAAUCACCAGGGUUACAACAGAACACUGAUUCACUAGAGGCUUUCUAUCUAAAUCACCAGGGUUACCACAGAACACUGAUUCACUAGAGACUUUAUAUCUAAACCACCAGGGUUACAACAGAACACUGAUUCCUCUGAUUCACUAGAGGCUUUAUAUCUAAACCACCAGGGUUACAACAGAACACUGAUUCCUCUGAUUCACUAGAGGCUUUAUAUCUAAAUCACCAGGGUUACAACAGAACACUGAUUCACUAGAAGCUUUCUAUCUAAAUCACCAGGGUUACAACAGAACACUGAUUCACUAGAGGCUUUAUAUCUAAACCACCAGGGUUACAACAGAACACUGAUUCACUAGAGGCUUUAUAUCUAAAUCACCAGGGUUACAACAGAACACUGAUUCACUAGAGACUUUAUAUCUAAAUCACCAGGGUUACAACAGAACACUGAUUCCUCUGAUUCACUAGAGGCUUUAUAUCUAAACCACCAGGGUUACAACAGAACACUGAUUCCUCUGAUUCACUAGAGGCUUUAUAUCUAAAUCACCAGGGUUACAACAGAACACUGAUUCACUAGAGGCUUUAUAUCUAAAUCACCAGGGUUACAACAGAACACUGAUUCACUAGAGGCUUUAUAUCUAAAUCACCAGGGUUACAACAGAACACUGAUUCACUAGAGGCUUUAUAUCUAAACCACCAGGGUUACAACAGAACACUGAUUCACUAGAGGCUUUCUAUCUAAAUCACCAGGGUUACAACAGAACACUGAUUCACUAGAGGCUUUAUAUCUAAACCACCA